UACGAAGGGGGCUAGCGUUGCUCGGAAUUACUGGGCGUAAAGCGCGCGCAGGCGGUCUUCCAAGUCAGUGGUGAAAGCCCGGAGCUCAACUCCGGAACUGCCAUUGAAACUGUUAGACUUGAGGAUGAGAGAGAUGAGUGGAAUUCCCAGUGUAGAGGUGAAAUUCGUAGAUAUUGGGAAGAACACCGGUGGCGAAGGCGGCUCACUGGCUCAUUACUGACGCUCAGGCGCGAUAGCGUGGGGAUCAAACAGG
rnacentral:rRNA from 1 species